rnacentral:rRNA from 1 species
AACGGCCGCGGUAUCCUAACCGUGCAAAGGUAGCAUAAUCACUUGCCUAUUAAUUGUAGGCUAGAAUGAAUGGGUUAACGAAAUAAAGACUGUCUCAAUUAAUUACCUAAAAAUUACUAUCUACCUGAAGAAGAGUAGAUAAUCUCGAAGGACAAGAAGACCCUAUAGAGCUUAAUUUUAAUUAUAGGAUUACACUAUAAAAAUAUUCGGUUGGGGCGACCCAGGGCUAAUUAAUCACCCACCACAUAAAAGAUAAAUUAAUCAAGUAAUUGACCCCUAAAAGAUCAUAAGAACAAGCUACCUUAGGGAUAACAGGCUAAUCCCACUCAAGAGUCCUUAUCAACAGUGGGGUUUGGCACCUCGAUGUUGGCUUAGG